AGAGUUUGAUCCUGGCUCAGGAUGAACGCUAGCUACAGGCUUAACACAUGCAAGUCGAGGGGCAGCAUCAUCAAAGCUUGCUUUGAUGGAUGGCGACCGGCGCACGGGUGAGUAACACGUAUCCAACCUGCCGACAACACUGGGAUAGCCUUUCGAAAGAAAGAUUAAUACCGGAUGGCAUAGUUUUCCCGCAUGGGAUAAUUAUUAAAGAAUUUCGGUGUCGAUGGGGAUGCGUUCCAUUAGGCAGUUGGCGGGUAACGGCCACCAAACUACGAUGGAUAGGGGUUCUGAGAGGAAGGCCCCCCANAUUGGAACUGAGACACGGUCCAAACUCCUACGGGAGCA
rnacentral:rRNA from 1 species